ACGGGUGUAGCUCAAUUGGUAGAGCAGCGGUCUCCAAAACCGCAGGUUGUGGGUUCGAUUCCUACCACCCGUG
rnacentral:tRNA from 1 species